AAGACAACGAGAGUAUUUCGGCCAAGAAGAACAAACUUACCCCCUUGAAAUUUCAUCCCCAAAAAUUAUUUUCUCCUAGUAUUCCCACUAAUUCAAGGGUCCUUUAUAACAUGGUGGAGUUAUUUUGGAAGAUUGGAGGCUUGUUUCAUUGAUUUGGGAGUGAAGAAGUUAGAAGGAAAAAGAUUUUGGAGGAAACAAGAAUUGAAUUUGGACAACCGUAAAAGGCCAAUAAGGUACAGACAUUCGUUUUGCUGACCCGCCUGCUUAGGACAUCUGUCGUGUCGUUGACAGUGCUCCCUUGUCCGGAGCUUAUCUUUUGGUACUGACUUUUUCUCUGUAUAUUUGUAUACGUUGGUCAGGGGUACGACGGGGCCCUGUCCCGUCAUAUGACUAUGCUAUCAUCUGUAGAGGUCUGUAGACAGAGUUAUGCUGUGGAUUUUGUAUAUAUAUUUUAGGUUUUGUGUGUUUUGUG